rnacentral:lncRNA from 1 species
GGAAUCUGGAGGGAGGGUGCAAAUACUAAGGAAAGCCCAUCUCGGAGCCUGCCUCGCUCAUGUACUCCAGCUUCUCUGGACCCACCGUUAGACCAGCUGGGGAGCCCUGGGGGACCUCCACCUCAUCCCCCUAUCUCAGCCCUGCUUGAGCCAGAGGCCGGCACAGGGCCAAACCCCUUGCUGUUCUCCCCCCGCCAUCCCCCUACGGGGGACUGGACGCUGCCACAGGCAGAGACCCUCCCCCCCUCCUCUUCUUUCUUCCAGAGUGUACAGCCACAUUAGCACGAGUGACACACCUGGAAUACCGCCCCUGAGACAGCUGCCUGACGGGGAGGGGACGCUUGUUGAUGUGCACGUCCCCUUUUCCACCUCUGACCUGUGUGAUUGGAAGGCACACACGCGAGGACUGAGCGCUGACCCAGAGGAGUUCAUAGGCCCGACGAAGGGGAUCUUCUGCACUCGUGAUCCCACCUGGGCCGGUAUUGCAAGCCUGUUGACUACACUCGUCAUGCCUGAGGCAAAGUCAUCCGUUCCGUUCGAAGCCAGGGAACAAGCGGAUCUCAGAAGUGCUCCAGACACCCGUGGGAAACUCCCAAAGUUGGCGAUCGGUCCUGCUACCAGUCCUGCACAGCUCCGAGUGGCUGCACGGAGGGUGCUCCAUAACCGGCUUGAAGCUGAGGAUGCAAAGGAAGACAGGAUGAUGAAAAGGCAGGCCGCCCUGCUCGCUGUGGCCCGCCAGUCUCCUCAAGGUAUCCUGAGGGAGAGGGGGCAUAUGCCAUGGGUGAGUAACCCCGGCCCCCACCGAGGGGCCAGGAGGCCACCCGCAAUGUCGGGGGCUAAUCGGUGGGCGGACUGCCAAGAGCAAGGGCGUUGGUGGCAGGAUUGUCCGAACCGUCCCCAGGGAGGGAAGGGAUCGAAGAAGCCCGAGCCGUGGCAGUUUCCCUUGACCACAGAUGAGACGUGAUGGGGCUGAGGGACAGCCCCCUCCCCCGGUUGGCUCCGGGAGGCCCCGGUGACCUCGGC